rfam:Gossypium arboreum cultivar AKA8401 contig_53938_1, whole genome shotgun sequence.
AAUCCAUGGUAUGGUCUUUUCCUUAUCAUCGACUUUAAACGUUCCCAUGCUUCAUACAUGAUCACCUUCGUAUUGCUUGAAAUUAGUGAUUUCUCACCUAAGUUG